rnacentral:rRNA from 1 species
AGCGAACGCUGGCGGCAGGCUUAAUACAUGCAAGUCGAGCGCCCGUAGCAAUACGGGAGCGGCAGACGGGUGAGUAACACGUGGGAACAUGCCCUUCGGUUCGGAAUAACUCAGGGAAACUUGAGCUAAUACCGGAUACGCCCUUACGGGGAAAGAUUUAUCGCCGAAGGAUUGGCCCGCGUCCGAUUAGCUAGUUGGUGAGGUAAUGGCUCACCAAGGCGACGAUCGGUAGCUGGCUGAGAGGAUGAUCAGCCACACUGGGACUGAGACACGGCCCAGACUCCUACGGGAGGCAGCAGUAGGGAAUAUUGGACAAUGGGCGCAAGCCUGAUCCAGCAAUGCCGCGUGAGUGAAGAAGGUCUUCGAUUGUAAAGCUCUUUCGACGGGGACGAUGAUGACGGUACCCGUAGAAGAAGCCCCGGCUAACUUCGUGCCAGCAGCCGCGGUAAU